AGGAAGGCGCUCAAAAGACCGGUGGGUAAAGAUUGCACUCGGGUAGUGUGUCUGGGAGCAUUUCUCUCUCACCUCUCUCUACCUCUCUCUAGUUGUACUUUACUUCUACGAAUGAAACCCCUAAAAGGCUAAAAGUAACUCCAACAGGGAGAGCUCCAAGUGGAGUCUUUUUUUUUUUUUUUUUUGCGCAACCAUUUGGAAUCUUUAAAAUGCAAAAUAUUAACUUUUUAAUAAAAUUUAGUUAACUGAUUAAAAUUUAUUUUUCUUUUUAAAGGUUAACCAAUUAAAAGCAAGCAUUUGAACUAUAAAUUUUUCAUAGAUUCUUUAAAUCUAACAUCUAUAUAUAUAUUAUAUUAUAUGGUAUUUAUUUAAUUAUUUGUGGGUUCUUUUAUAUAUUUUUUUUUUGAUCAAACAACAUGCAUUACUUAUAAAAAGUUUACACUCCCACUAAGGAGUUGGUUACAAGCAAAGAGAGAGCUGAUUUUGCCACAUUAUCAGCCUCUCCAUUAAAGUUUCUAGAGAUGAAAGUAAAGGAUAUAACAUCAAAAUAAGAUAAGUAGUGAUAGAUAUCAAACAUGAUACCGAAAAGUUCAGGCUGAGUACCAUCAGUCUUCAAGAGCUUGAUGACAGAUAGUGAAUCAGAGAGAACUGCCAGGGAUCGGACGUUUGAGUAAACCGCAGUAACGACUGCAAGACGGACAGCCAUGGCUUCGGCCAUUAAUGCUGAUGAUACAUGGUUUUGGGACUCGCAUAGGUUUGGAA
rnacentral:lncRNA from 1 species